rnacentral:rRNA from 1 species
AUGAGCAAAAGCCUGAGCCCCAGGUACCAAGGGCUCUCCACUUAUGAAAAGGAAUACCUCGCGAUUGUCGUUGCCGUGGAUCAAUGGCGGCCUUACCUUCAACACAGCGAGUUUGUCAUCUACACGGUCCAGAAAAGUCUGAUACAUUUGGAGGAACAAAGGCUCUCAACGCCUUGGCAGCAGCGUGCAUUCACGAAACUUAUAGGUCUGUGA